AGUAGACAUGACGUUAGCAGACUCUGGCUUGGCAGACAUGAAGUGAACAGGCUUUGGCGUAGCAGACAUGAUGUGGGCAGGCUUUGGCUCUGCAGGCAUGACGUGAACAACUCCUGACAUGAUGGUCGGGACGUGGAAAAGGUCUGAUGUGGCGGGUACUGUAGGAUAGCAGUGUUCCUCCU